rnacentral:lncRNA from 1 species
AAUUGUGUGAGUAGUUGUUAGACCUAUGGUGCCUCGACUGCUCAUAGUGGGGUUGCUGUAGUUUGAUAAUACAUAAAUAUGAUCUCUAGCUAUUCGGAUCCUUGUGAUAUUUGUUGGCUGCAACAGAUUUGUUGUAGGAGUAGGUGUGCAGUUUUAGGAGAUUUAUAUGUCUUAGUAAUUAAAGAGUAGUUUUAUGCGACCUAAGAGGCUGAAUCCUUAAAUCUAUAUCCAUAGCAGCAUGAUAAUGGAAAAAAAUUUUCAUGAGAUUCAUGAUUGGAUUCAAGCUAAUUAAGUCUUGC